rnacentral:lncRNA from 1 species
AUAAAAAAUCUUAAAGAAAUAUUAGAAUAAUCACAAAUAUAUCUCAAAUACAUCUCAAUUCAAUCUUAAUUUAAUCCUAGUUAAAAUCCUAUCGGACUUCAUUCAAACUUUAGGCCAAAGAUUAAUUAAAUCUUAAAUCCUAAAUAAAUCAUAAAUCAAAUCCUAAUCAAACCUUAAAUCCUAAACCAAAUCCUAAUCAAAUUCUAAUCAAAUCCUAAAUCCUAAAUCAAAUCCUAAUCAAAUCUUAAAUCCUGAAUCAAAUCCUAAUAAAAUUAUAAUCCUAAAUCAAAUCCUAAUCAAAUUGUAAUCCUAAAUCAAAUCCUAAUCAAAUUAUAACCCUAAAUCAAAUCCUAAUUAAAUCCUAAAUCCUAAAUCAAAUCCUAAUCAAAUCAUAGUAAUUCCUACAACAGAUUUAAACCUCAAUAACUAAUGAAUAAACCAUCGAUCUUAACUCAAAGUUUUCACACUUCUUAAAAAUUAAGUCAAAAAAAAGUACAAAAAAAUUGAAUAGGAUCGGAAUUACCAAAUAGACGAUAACCUCAAAAUGU